GUGUGCAAUGGCUGCAAAUAGCAGCCUCCUUGGUAGUGUUUGCAGCCUGUUACUUCUAUGGGUUGCUCUAACGAACCUUGGAGUCAGCC
rnacentral:snoRNA from 1 species